GUAGGUGAACCUGCGGAAGGAUCAUUAACAAGAACUUGGAUGCGGCCGUGGGCGCAAGCCUGCGGCUGUCAUUCAUACCACAUCUACCUUGUGAACUGUGAACCGCGAGUGCCUGGGCCUGCGAGCCGGUUUGGCGCGCCGGGCCUGGGAACCCUUUUACAUGAACUGUCUUAAUAAACUGUCGUUGACGCGACACUAAUUAAUACAACUUUUAACAAUGGAUCUCUUGGUUCCU
rnacentral:misc_RNA from 1 species